UUGAGGUGAAUUCCUGGACCUAUUAAUUUACAUCUACCCUAAUUACACAUUUAUGCCAGUUGUAAAGUUGGGAAUAACCAGCUGUUCUGGGCUGAAAAAAAGAAUAAAAGGCAAAGAAAGAUAUCAGUCACUCGGACACUCAAGUCUCACUACUGAAUGGAGGUGCCUGAAAGGCAUUUUGAAGUGCCAGCCCCUGCGUGAUGGAUUUUUGGCCUUGGAGUAUUUCAGCUUAUUCUCUACGAUUCCCUUAUUCUCCUGUACUUCAUCCAAUAUACACACCAUUGAGAGAAGCCUUCAAAAGUAUUAGCAGGAUAUAAGCAACAAGAAACAAGGUCAAUCUCAUUAGGCUGACCAGGAUCAUUUUGAGGAGAAAAAGGAUGAAAUUGAGAAGAGGAUCAGUGUAUUUCUAUGCAGGGAGAUCUCUCGGCUUAUCUAAGUCUCCUAAAGUGCAAGGAUAUUUCCAGCUCGUGCUCCGCACAGCUCCCCGCUGCCUGCAGCAAGGAAGGAAGCACCUGCAGAGCUUUUUCUGCCUCAUCUCAGACAUGUGGAGAUGGCAUAGACCCCUGCCUGAUUUCACCUGCUUUUAUUUUCAGCUCCCACCUUUGCUCCAGCCCAGCUUCAUCGUCCAUCACCACCAAGCAAUGCUACAACUCCGAUCCCAGACCGGGUGAAUCUGGGGCCCGGCAUUAACCCUAGGAAAUCAGAAAGAAAUGUGCCUCUCCAUUUCAAAAAACCCGUGUUUGUCAGCAGUUACCACUUAGAGAGAUCUGAGGUAUCGAUAACCGCCCUGCAGUCCUCCCAAGGUUUUCAGCACUUUGGCCCUGGUCCAGAGGAGCACUUACACACGUGUUUAGCUCGGAGAGGGCAGGCAGUCCCCCUUCGGGUUGUGGCUGUGCGGUGUGGAUGGGCAUAUUCUCCAUGCAGAG